rnacentral:rRNA from 1 species
AGUAACGCGUGGGGAACCUGCCCUAUACAGGGGGAUAACAGCUGGAAACGGUUGCUAAUACCGCAUAAGCGCACAGAAUCGCAUGAUUCAGUGUGAAAAGCCCUGGCAGUAUAGGAUGGUCCCGCGUCUGAUUAGCUGGUUGGUGAGGUAACGGCUCACCAAGGCGACGAUCAGUAGCCGGCUUGAGAGAGUGAACGGCCACAUUGGGACCGAGACACGGCCCAA